AAGAAUUUAAAGAGUGCACUUCAUUGUGGCUCGACAUUUUCUACCAUUCACCCUAGUGCACCGUAAUACCUUUUUUAUAGACUAAAUGUAAUGGAUGUAACACUAUCUAAGAACU
rnacentral:misc_RNA from 1 species